UUUAAAAAUAAUAAUAAUCAACUGUUAUUAAAUAUUCUAGUGUUUCUAAAAAUUAAAGUACUUCAUGAUGGAGAUCCAUUGGUCCAAUAUGCAUCCAUCCACCGCCGUCCAGCAUACUAAUUUCUACCUGAAAAUUGUAAAUAGAGAGGGAUGAGUAUAACGAAUUAUACUCAAUGAGGUGCUUGCUACUCCACAUUCAAAUCAAACGUGAAAUUAUGCAUAAAUUCUCUUACCAACAUAACAUGAGAAUUAUCACACCAUGACAAAUGAUAAUUCAAGCAAGCGCUGCAAAUAACGUGAAGGCUAAAUUGUGCCUUAAACUGUAUCAUGAUUUCUCCCAAAGGAGCUCUGAACUGAAGUAAUUAAAUCCAUACAUAACAACGUAUUUGAAAAGAUGUGGACAAACCACUAAUAGCACUGAGCAUCUCACCUUUUGAAGAUGAACGUGGAAAACAAAAUUGCUGAAAACGUGAUUCUUUAUUGAAAUUCCAAAUCCUUAAAAAGCCUUAAUAAUAUGGAGAAAUAUUUUUAAAGAGGAGGAGAGAAUAAAGACUUGCAGAAGAAGAAUGAUGAAUUAAUGACUGAAUGCUUGAGGCUUAGUGCUAUAUUUAUACUAAACCACGGUGUAGGGUAAUCACGUGGGGAGUGGA
rnacentral:lncRNA from 1 species